GGAGGUAUAGCUCAGUGGUAGAUCAUUUGACUGCAGAUCAAGAGGUCCCUGGUUCAAAUCUGGGUGCCCACU
rnacentral:tRNA from 1 species